CAGGCCUAAUACAUGCAAGUCGGACGGUAACAUAGAGUGCGCAGGCUAUUUGCUGACGACCGGCGCACGGGUGAGUAACGCGUAUGCAACCUACCUUUUACUGGAGAAUAGCCUUUAGAAAUGAAGAUUAAUACUCCAUAAUAAUUAAGGCUCUCCUGAGUUUUAAUUUAAAGUUUCGACGGUAAAAGAUGGGCAUGCGUUUUAUUAGUUAGUUGGUAAGGUAACGGCUUACCAAGACUACGAUAAAUAGGGGUCCUGAGAGGGAGAUCCCCCACACUGGUACUGAGACACGGACCAGACUCCUACGGGAGGCAGCAGUGAGGAAUAUUGGACAAUGGAGGCAACUCUGAUCCAGCCAUGCCGCGUGCAGGAAGACGGCCCUAUGGGUUGUAAACUGCUUUUAUACAGGAAGAAACCUCCCCACGUGUCGUGAGAUGACGGUACCGUAAGAAUAAGGACCGGCUAACUCCGUGCCAGCAGCCGCGGUAAUACGGAGGGUCCGAGCGUUAUCCGGAAUUAUUGGGUUUAAAGGGUCCGCAGGCGGGCGAUUAAGUCAGGGGUGAAAGUCUGCGGCUUCAACUGUAGAAUUGCCUUUGAUACUGGUGGUCUUGAGUUAUGGUGAAGUGGCUGGAAUAUGUAGUGUAGCGGUGAAAUGCAUAGAUAUUACAUAGAACACCGAUCGCGAAGGCAGGUCACUAACCACUAACUGACGCUGAUGGACGAAAGCGUGGGGAGCGAACGGGAUUAGAUACCCCGGUAGUCCACGCUGUAAACGAUGGAUACUAGCUGUUCGGACUUCGGUCUGAGUGGCUAAGCGAAAGUGAUAAGUAUCCCACCUGGGGAGUACGUUCGCAAGAAUGAAACUCAAAGGAAUUGACGGGGGCCCGCACAAGCGGUGGAGCAUGUGGUUUAAUUCGAUGAUACGCCGAGGAACCUUACCAGGGCUUAAAUGUAGAUUGACAGGUUUAGAGAUAGGCUUUUCUUCGGACAAUUUACAAGGUGCUGCAUGGUUGUCGUCAGCUCGUGCCGGGAGGUGUCAGGUUAAGUCCUAUAACGAGCGCAACCCCUCCCGUUAGUUGCCAGCAUGUAAAGAUGGGGACUCUAACGGGACUGCCGGUGCAAACCGUGAGGAAGGUGGGGAUGACGUCAAAUCAUCACGGCCCUUACGUCCUGGGCCACACACGUGCUACAAUGGCCGGUACAGAGAGCAGCCAUGUUGCGAGACAGAGCGAAUCUAUAAAACCGGACACAGUUCGGAUCGGGGUCUGCAACUCGACCCCGCGAAGCUGGAAUCGCUAGUAAUCGCAUAUCAGCCAUGAUCCGGUGAAUACGUUCCCGGGCCUUGUACACACCGCCC
rnacentral:rRNA from 1 species